UACGGAGGGUGCAAGGCGUUAAUCGGAAUUACUGGGCGUAAAGCGUGCGUAGGCGGUUCGUUAAGUCUGUUGUGAAAGCCCCGGCUCAACCUGGGAAUGGCAAUGGAUACUGGCGAGCUAGAGUGUGUCAGAGGAUGGUGGAAUUCCCGGUGUAGCGGUGAAAUGCGUAGAGAUCGGGAGGAACAUCAGUGGCGAAGGCGGCCAUCUGGGACAACACUGACGCUGAGGCACGAAAGCGUGGGGAGCAAACAGG
rnacentral:rRNA from 1 species